UAACACGUUCCCGGCAGAUGGAAGAGA
rnacentral:piRNA from 1 species